rnacentral:rRNA from 1 species
UCGUGGAGUGAUCUGUCUGCUUAAUUGCGUUUCACAAAGGACUCUCUAACUUCCGUCUGUUGCGCGGCACUCCGGUGUCUGUUGCACGGCGGAGAAGACGUCCUGAAGGCAACGAACGUGACCGCAACCUCUUGUUGCCUCCUUUCCUGUUCACCAGGGACAUGAGCUGUGGUGGUGCUUCGGCACACCGCUCUCUGCACGGAGUUUUUGCCAACUAGAGGG